rnacentral:rRNA from 1 species
AACGAACGCUGGCGGCAGGCUUAACACAUGCAAGUCGAACGCAUCCUUCGGGGUGAGUGGCAGACGGGUGAGUAACGCGUGGGAACGUGCCCUUCAGUUCGGGAUAACCCAGGGAAACUUGGGCUAAUACCGGAUACGUGCGAGAGCAGAAAGAUUUAUCGCUGAAGGAUCGGCCCGCGUCUGAUUAGCUAGUUGGUGGGGUAAUGGCCCACCAAGGCGACGAUCAGUAGCUGGUCUGAGAGGAUGAUCAGCCACAUUGGGACUGAGACACGGCCCAAACUCCUACGGGAGGCAGCAGUGGGGAGUAUUGGACAAUGGGCGUAAGCCUGAUCCAGCCAUGCCGCGUGAGUGAUGAAGGCCUUAGGGUUGUAAAGCUCUUUCGUCCGGGACGAUAAUGACGGUACCGGAAGAAGAAGCCCCGGCUAACUUCGUGCCAGCAGCCGCAGUAA